rnacentral:rRNA from 1 species
UACGGGGGGAGCAAGCGUUGUUCGGAUUUACUGGGCGUAAAGGGCGCGUAGGCGGCACUGUUAGUCAGGCGUGAAAGUCCUGGGCUCAACCUGGGAACUGCGCUUGAUACGGCAGAGCUAGAGGAUGGAAGAGGCUCGCGGAAUUCCCAGUGUAGAGGUGAAAUUCGUAGAUAUUGGGAAGAACACCGGUGGCGAAGGCGGCGAGCUGGUCCAUUACUGACGCUGAGGCGCGACAGCGUGGGGAGCAAACAGG